GGUUUCGUGGUGUAGUGGUUAUCACGUCUGCUUAACACGCAGAAGGUCGCGAGUUCAAGCCUCGCCGAAACCU
rnacentral:tRNA from 1 species